rnacentral:rRNA from 1 species
GUUAGGAAUUUUGCGCAAUGGGCGAAAGCCUGACGCAGCAACGCCGCGUGAGGGAAGAAGGCUUUCGGGUUGUAAACCUCUUUUAGCAGGGACGAACACAAUGACUGUACCUGCAGAAAAAGCACCGGCUAACUACGUGCCAGCAGCCGCGGUAAUACGUAGGGUGCAAGCGUUAUUCGGAUUUAUUGGGCGUAAAGAGCAUGUAGGCGGUUUGCUAAGUCUGAUGUGAAAGCCCUCGACUUAAUCGAGGAAGUGCAUUGGAUACUGUCAAACUAGAGUACAGGAGGGGUGAGCGGAAUUCCAGGUGUAGAGGUGAAAUUCGUAGAUAUCUGGAGGAACAACAGCGGCGAAGGCGGCUCACUGGACUGUAACUGACGCUCAGAUGCGAUAGUGUGGGGAGCGAACAGGAUUAGAUACCCGUGUAGUCC